rnacentral:misc_RNA from 1 species
GAUGAAGAACGCAGCGAAAUGCGAUACGUAAUGUGAAUUGCAGAAUUCCGUGAAUCAUCGAAUCUUUGAACGCACAUUGCGCCCCUUGGUAUCCCGAGGGGCAUGCCUGUUCGAGCGUCAUUUCACCACUCAAGCCUGGCUUGGUGUUGGGCGACGUCCCCUUUGGGGACGCGCCUCGAAACGCUCGGCGGCGUGGCACCGGCUUUAAGCGUAGCAGAAUCUUUCGCUUUGGAAGUCGGGGCCCCGUCUGCCGGAAGACCUACUCGCAAGGUUGACCUCGGAUCAGGCAGGGAUACCCGCUGAACUUAAGCAUAUCAAUAAGCGGAGGA